UACGUAGGGUGCAAGCGUUGUCCGGAAUUACUGGGCGUAAAGCGUGCGUAGGCGGUUUCUUAAGUCUGCUGUGAAAGCCCUGGGCUCAACCUGGGAAUGGCGGCGGAUACUGAGAAGCUGGAGUACGGUAGAGGAAGGUGGAAUUCCCGGUGUAGCGGUGAAAUGCGUAGAGGAUCGGGAGGAACAUCAGUGGCGAAGGCGGACCUUCUGGACCAG
rnacentral:rRNA from 1 species